AGCCAGAGCAGACUGUCGUGCCCCAGCCAUCUCUGGACGAAUAUCUCUUUAAGUGAUUCACUCUUAAGCAUGACUAAGAGG
rnacentral:pre_miRNA from 1 species